UUUAUAGAGAGUUUGAUCCUGGCUCAGGACGAACGCUGGCGGCGUGCUUAACACAUGCAAGUCGAACGAGUAUCUGCGGAACGAGGUUUCGUCCAAGUGAAGCGGAGGACAGUGGCGGACGGGUGAGUAACGCGUGAGGAACCUGCCUUUCAGAGGGGGACAACAGUUGGAAACGACUGCUAAUACCGCAUGACACAUAGAUGUCGCAUGGCAUUUAUGUCAAAGAUUUAUCGCUGAAAGAUGGCCUCGCGUCUGAUUAGCUAGUUGGUGAGGUAACGGCCCACCAAGGCGACGAUCAGUAGCCGGACUGAG
rnacentral:rRNA from 1 species